GUUGAAACACCGGUUCUCGUAAGCUCACCAAAGUUAAGCAACGUCGAACCUGGUCAGUAUCUAGAUAGGUGGCCGCUUGGGAAUACCAGAUACUGUAA